rnacentral:rRNA from 1 species
UACGAAGGGGGCUAGCGUUGCUCGGAAUCACUGGGCGUAAAGCGCACGUAGGCGGAUCUUUAAGUCAGGGGUGAAAUCCUGGAGCUCAACUCCAGAACUGCCUUUGAUACUGGGGAUCUCGAGUCCAGGAGAGGUGAGUGGAACUCCGAGUGUAGAGGUGAAAUUCGUAGAUAUUCGGAAGAACACCAGUGGCGAAGGCGGCUCACUGGCCCGGUACUGACGCUGAGGUGCGAAAGCGUGGGGAGCAAACAGG